rnacentral:rRNA from 1 species
UACGUAGGGGGCAAGCGUUGUCCGGAUUUAUUGGGCGUAAAGAGCGUGUAGGCGGCCAUGUAGGUCCGUUGUGAAAACUCGAGGCUCAACCUCGAGACGCCGAUGGAAACCAUGUGGCUAGAGUCCGGAAGAGGAGAGUGGAAUUCCUGGUGUAGCGGUGAAAUGCGCAGAUAUCAGGAAGAACACCAAUGGCGAAGGCAGCUCGCUGGGACGGUACUGACGCUGAGGCGCGAAAGCGUGGGGAGCAAACAGG